GAUGAACGCUGGCGGCGUGCCUAAUACAUGCAAGUCGAGCGAACGGACGAGAAGCUUGCUUCUCUGAUGUUAGCGGCGGACGGGUGAGUAACACGUGGAUAACCUACCUAUAAGACUGGGAUAACUUCGGGAAACCGGAGCUAAUACCGGAUAAUAUUUUGAACCGCAUGGUUCAAAAGUGAAAGACGGUCUUGCUGUCACUUAUAGAUGGAUCCGCGCUGCAUUAGCUAGUUGGUAAGGUAACGGCUUACCAAGGCAACGAUGCAUAGCCGACCUGAGAGGGUGAUCGGCCAGACUGGAACUGAGACACGGUCCAGACUCCUACGGGAGGCAGCAGUAGGGAAUCUUCCGCAAUGGGCGAAAGCCUGACGGAGCAACGCCGCGUGAGUGAUGAAGGUCUUCGGAUCGUAAAACUCUGUUAUUAGGGAAGAACAUAUGUGUAAGUAACUGUGCACAUCUUGACGGUACCUAAUCAGAAAGCCACGGCUAACUACGUG
rnacentral:rRNA from 1 species